AAAUCUCUCUCUCAUCCUCACGCCUAAGGGGAUUAUGGCGCCACUAAUUAUGGCCUUUGGAUCAUCAUCAAGCCUUGAUCAAUGGAUGAGAAUGGCUCCUACUUUUUAUGCGUGAGAAGAAAAGAAAAUAGGGAGGAGUACAACGCAUGAAUGAAGAGACGUAUCAUGAAAGCAUCUCUUGGUUGGAUAAGGAUGAAACAAUACUAACUCCUUAUCACAACCCUUCAUUUGAUAUGUCCUUUGAUUCAUGAUUGGAUGGCACCCCUUGAUGAAGGGAUGAGUGGAUGGGAUGCAUCUUUUGGAGAUGCAUCCCCAUGCCAUCUAUAAAUAGAUGCUCUCCCGGUGAAUUCAUUCCAUCGAAACUCUAGAAUUCCAACUUUCUCUUUUAUCCCUUCUUUCUUAUAUUAGUUUCUUUCUUUCUAGCAUUGCUUCUAGUGUGUCCUAAGCCAAGACAAGGUGGUCUUCUUUAAGACAAAAGGAUUAGAAGUGAUUUUAGAAGGAGAAAG
rnacentral:lncRNA from 1 species